UAGGGAAUCUUCGGCAAUGGGGGGAACCCUGACCGAGCAACGCCGCGUGAGUGAAGAAGGUUUUCGGAUCGUAAAGCCCUGUUGUUAAGGAAGAACGAGUGUGAGAAUGGAAAGUUCAUGCUGUGACGGUAUUUAACCAGAAAGGGACGGCUAACUACGUGCCAGCAGCCGCGGUAAUACGUAGGUCCCGAGCGUUGUCCGGAUUUAUUGGGCGUAAAGCGAGCGCAGGCGGUUAGAAAAGUCUGAAGUGAAAGGCAGUGGCUCAACCAUUGUAGGCUUUGGAAACUGUUUAACUUGAGUGCAGAAGGGGAGAGUGGAAUUCCAUGUGUAGCGGUGAAAUGCGUAGAUAUAUGGAGGAACACCGGUGGCGAAAGCGGCUCUCUGGUCUGUAACUGACGCUGAGGCUCGAAAGCGUGGGGAGCGAACAGG
rnacentral:rRNA from 1 species